GUGCUCGCUUCGGCCGCACAUAUACUAAUUUUGAAACGAUACAAAGAAGAUUAGCAUGGCCCCUGCGCAAGGAUGGCCGGCAAAUUCGUGAAGCAAUCCAUAUUUUU
ensembl:snRNA U6 U6 spliceosomal RNA